rnacentral:rRNA from 1 species
GUUGAACGCUGGCGGCGUGCCUAAUACAUGCAAGUCGAGCGAAGCGGGGACUGGUGAGUAACACGUGUAUAACCUCCUAUAAGACUGGGAUAAAUUAGGGAAAACGGAGCUCAACCCGAUCCUUAUCUUUGGAUCCUCGCUGCAUUAGCUAGUUGGUAAGUUAACGGCUUACCAAGGCAACGAUGCAUAGCCGACCUGAGAGGGUUGUCGGCCACACUGGAAAUGAGACACGGUCCAUACGCCUACGGGAGGCAGCAGUAGGGAAUCUUGCGCAAUGGGCGAAAGCCUGACGGAGCAACGCCGCGUGAGUGAUGAAGGUCUUCGGAUCGUAAAGCUCUGUUAGUAGGGAAGCGUUACCUAAACAGAAAGCCACGGCUAACUACGUGCCAGCAGCCGCGGUAAUAC